ensembl:lncRNA
CGCGGUCCUCUCUGAACUCUCCGUUCCCUCUCUCAGUCUGUGUUGCACAGCGUGGGCGGGCCCCUCUCUCAGUGUUGACCGGCGUCUGGCGGGAGUUAUUCUGACUUCAGGCUCCUCCUCAACACCAGCGCAGGAUGGAGCCUUACUCACCACUCCGCGCAGCGUGAAAAUAAUGCACGCGCCGCCUGGCACACAGAAGGCCCUGGACGCAGGGCACCCAGGAGAGAGACUGACACCGAGCCCCAGUGGAGGUGACACGGGAGCUGAAUCAGGGUCUUAAGGCUAACGAGCGCUCGGCCGCGCUCACCGACCUGGCCUUGAUGACCAGCAGCACGAAGAGAGGCUCCAGGAAGCCGGCGGCGGGUAAGGCCACGAGGUUGCUGCCCACGAGCUAAGGAGCUGUGCCCCCAACUGUCCUCGUUGGCCCCGCCCCUCACCCAGGCUACGCCCCAACGGCGCAGCCCACAACCCGAGUGUCCAUCCUCUCCCUCCGCUCCAGCCCCGGGUAAACCUCACCCCACCCUGCUGUCCAGGCCCCGGGCCACCUUCUGCCCACCUCCAUCCACCUCGCUGCUAGAUUCUCAACUCUCCGCAGAGCCUCCGAGACCCGCCCAUCUCCCCGACCCUACCGCCCUCACUCCUCCCAGACUGAUCCUCCCAAACGGCUCCUCUCUCGGACCCCGCCCACCGCUCGCCCCGCCCCUGUGACCUGGUCUGUCCCUUGGCUGUCCCUGCCCUCCCCACUGCUCCCCUGGAGGGCGCCACAGCCUGGCGGAUACGCGACGAUCUCGUCCAUAGAGAAGGGAAGCUGAGUCCUGUACACUGGGAACAUCAGGACGGUGACCAGCAUGGCGCCCGAGAACAGGCAUAGCGACAGGACCUACAGCAUGAAGACACGGAAAUUGCGGGGCUGAGAACUCACCUUGAUGCAAGAUGCCAGGGUCUGACACAUUGAGGGAAACGAGACUGAAGAAGGUCAGGAUGAAGAGGGGGCAUGUGACAACGGGAUCGACCCAUUCCCUGUUCUGGACCAGCCAUCUGCAACUGAGACCAGAGCAGGACUCAGCCCUGAUCUGCAGGAGGUCCUGAGCUCCCCCCAGGACUCAGUCCACCUGAUCAGGACUCAUAGACCUUAAAGCCUGCCAUAAAUAUCCAGGCUAGUGACAGAUCCACAGAGGCUCCACCAGAUGUCACCCACCACCACCAGCUCCCAGGGGCACCAAGUACUCUAUGCCUCAGUGCCUUUGCACAUUCAGGGCCCUCUGCCUAGAAUAUCCUCCCUUCCCUGACCCCUCUUCUGCACUUCCCCUGCUCCAUGCUAUCAUCAUCUCUUUUUCUUUCUGUGUCUGUCAGAAACCUGCUGGCCUGGGUGGGAGACUCAUGGGAAUGUGAAGAAGAGGCCACUAAGGACGAGCAGCAGCACGACACUGAAGGCAGCGAACAGGCUCAGGAGCAUCCAGGGAAGUGGGUCCUGAGGUCUGCCACCCCGCAAGAGAGCGGCAUGGCAGCACCUCCAGUGCCCAUAGGCGCCCUUGCCGAUACUGGCUCCAGGAGCCCUAUGUCGACAGCGACUGUUGAAGACAUAUUGAGCGCCCAAGCCACAGCCCAGGUUGGAAGGCAGAAGUCCCAGUGUGACAUCACCGAGGCUGAGGAGAAUGUGGGCUAGGGGCUCUGCAGCCUGUGACCAGCACUUCCAACGGCAACGCCCGCCACCCCCACUGGCUGGGGACUGAGAGGUCCUGCCCCUGCCAGUAUGUGAGUGAGCUGCCUUUCCCAGAAAGUCAAGGUCCAGACAUCAAGAUUCAGCCUCACAAAGCCAAAAGCAGGCUGAAGAUGAAAACUAACCAGAAAAGUCCAGUUGGUCAAGGAAAAAGAAAUUCAGUCUUCAAGGCCCAACACAGGCUGGCAGGAAGGCCCUAACCUGCAUGGCCACAGGCUCCCACCCACCUACAUAAAACCCCAGCACAUGCUCUCCUUCCCCUACCUAAAACCCUAGAGAAAAACCUACCUUUUUCCCUUCAAGGAGGUGGAUCUGAGUUCUAACUCCCAUCUCCUCCUCUUUCAAUACUAAAGGUCUUUUCUUGCCACAA